GGGCUCACAAUCCAAAAACCUUUGUUGGUUUUACGGGCUCACCAACGAACCUUUACACUUUGGUUUUCCGGGUUCACCAAAAACCUUUGUUGGUUUUACGGGCUCACCAACGAACCUUUACAAUUGGUUUUCCGGGUUCACCAAUCAACCUACUCCGUUGGUUUUCCGGGCUCACCAACCAACCUUUACAAGUUGUUUAACAAAUAAAGAAAGAAGAUUUAAACUCCUAAAUGAGCAAAUGAAACA
rnacentral:lncRNA from 1 species